rnacentral:lncRNA from 10 species
GGUCCUGCCUCUCUUUUCCCUAUCACUCAUCUUCUUCCAGCCUUGACCCUUCUUCUAAACCUCAAGUGAUCCACCCACCUUGACCUCCCAAAGUGUUAGGAUUACAGGCGUGAGCCACCGUGCCCGGCCUUAAGUGAAGCAUUUUUAUAGAAAAUGUACUUUUUGGGCCCAGUGCAGUGGCUCACACCGGUAAUCCCAGCACUGUGGGAGGCUGAGGCGGGCGGAUCACGAGGUCAGAAGAUCGAGACCAUCCUGGCUAACACAGUGAAACCCCGUCUCUACUAAAAAUACACAAAAAAAAUUAGCCGGGCACGGUGGCGGGCCCUGUAGUCCCAGCUACUCGGGAGGCUGAGGCAGAGGAAUGGCGUGAACCCGGGUGGCGGAGCUUGCAGUGAGUCGAGAUCAUGCCACUGCACUCCAGCCUGGGCAACAGAGCGAGACUCUGUCUCAAAAAAAAAAAAAAGAAAAUGUUUUUAGUAGAGACAGGGUUUCACCGUGUUAGCCAGGAUGGUCUUGAUCUCCUGACCUCGUGAUCUGCCCUCAGCCUCCCAAAGUGCUGGGAUUACAGGCGUGAGCCACUGCACCCAGCUCAUUUUAUUUUAUUUUUAUGAUUUUUUUCUUUUCUUCCUAACAUGGGUUGGGAACCAAUGAAGUAUUUUAUUUUAUUUUUAAAAUGUUAUUUAUUUAUUUAUUUAGACAGGGUCUUGCUCUGUUACCCAGGCUAGAGUGCAGUGGCAUGAUUACAGCUCAUUGCAGCCUCAACCUCCCAGGCUCAAGUGAUCCUCCCACCUCAGCCUCCCAAGUAGGUGGGACUACAGAUGCACACCACUAUGCUUGGCUAAGUUUUAAACAAUUAUUUUAGAUACAGGGUCUUGCUAUGUUGCCCAGGCUGGUCUCUAACUCCUGGGCUCAAGUGAUCCUCCCAUCUUGGCCUCCCAAAAUACUGAGAUUACAGAUGUGAGCUAUUACAGUCAACCUAAAAUUGUUUUCAUUGACACAUCAUAAUUAUAUGUAUUUUUGGGGUACAGGGUGAUAUUUUGGCUCAUGUAUACCACGUGUAAUGAUCAAAUCAAAGUAACUAGCAUAUCCAUCACCUCAAACAUUUAUCAUUUCUUUGUGUUGGGAACAUCCAAACUCCUGUCUUCCGGUUAUUUGAAAAUAUACAAUACAUUAUUAUUAACUGUAGUCACCCUACAGUGCUGUAGAACACUAGAACUUAUUCCUCCUGUCUAGCUGUAGUUCUGUAUCCAUUAACCAACCUCUCCUUCUCCCCCACUUCCCUCUAUCCUUCCCAGCCUCUAAUAACUACUAUGCUACUCUCUACUUUUAUGAGAUUGACUUUUUCAGCCUCCACAUGUGAGUGAGAACAUGUGGUAUUUGUCUUUCAUGCUUGGCUUGUUUUACUUAACAUAAUGUUCUCUGGGCUCAUGCAUGUUGUGCACAUACAAGAUUUCAUUCUUUUUUAAUGGCUGAAUAGUAUUCCAUUGUGUAUAUAUACCACAUUUUCUUUAUCCAUUCAUCUGCUGGACACUUAGGCGGAUUCCAUAUCUUGGCUAUU